AGCACGGGUGCUUGCACCUGGUGGCGAGUGGCGAACGGGUGAGUAAUGCGUCGGAACGUACCGAGUAAUGGGGGAUAACGCAGCGAAAGUUGUGCUAAUACCGCAUACGCCCUGAGGGGGAAAGUGGGGGACCGCAAGGCCUCACGUUAUUCGAGCGGCCGACGUCUGAUUAGCUAGUUGGUGGGGUAAAGGCCUACCAAGGCGACGAUCAGUAGCGGGUCUGAGAGGAUGAUCCGCCACACUGGGACUGAGACACGGCCCAGACUCCUACGGGAGGCAGCAGUGGGGAAUUUUGGACAAUGGGGGCAACCCUGAUCCAGCCAUUCCGCGUGAGUGAAGAAGGCCUUCGGGUUGUAAAGCUCUUUCAGCUGGAACGAAACGGUACGCGCUAACAUCGUGUGCUAAUGACGGUACCGGCAGAAGAAGCACCGGCUAACUACGUGCCAGCAGCCGCGGUAAUACGUAGGGUGCGAGCGUUAAUCGGAAUUACUGGGCGUAAAGCGUGCGCAGGCGGAUUGUUAAGCAAGACGUGAAAUCCCCGGGCUUAACCUGGGAAUGGCGUUUUGAACUGGCAGUCUAGAGUGCGUCAGAGGGGGGUGGAAUUCCACGUGUAGCAGUGAAAUGCGUAGAGAUGUGGAGGAACACCGAUGGCGAAGGCAGCCCCCUGGGAUGACACUGACGCUCAUGUACGAAAGC
rnacentral:rRNA from 1 species